GCCAGUUUGGCAUAGUGGUUUAAGCACUGGACUAUGACUCCGGAGACCAGGGUUCGAGUCCUGGCUUGGCC
rnacentral:tRNA from 1 species